UACGUAGGGUGCAAGCGUUAAUCGGAAUUACUGGGCGUAAAGCGUGCGCAGGCGGCUUUGCAAGACAGAUGUGAAAUCCCCGGGCUCAACCUGGGAACUGCAUUUGUGACUGCAAGGCUAGAGUACGGUAGAGGGGGAUGGAAUUCCGCGUGUAGCAGUGAAAUGCGUAGAUAUGCGGAGGAACACCGAUGGCGAAGGCAAUCCCCUGGACCUGUACUGACGCUCAUGCACGAAAGCGUGGGGAGCAACAGG
rnacentral:rRNA from 1 species